rnacentral:ncRNA from 1 species
AAAAGUUUUAUUCUUGCUUGUUUAUUCACUUUUUCUUUGUAUUAUAUGUAAGUUUUGUUAAACUAAAUGUUCUAUUUUGCAGUAAUUUGAUUUAAUUAUCAAGUGAUUUUGGAUUUAGCAAUUGAUUUAGUAUCGGCAUAAUUCGUGCCAGCAGCCGCGGUUAUACGAUUGAUACAAGUGAAUAUUAUUGGUUAAAACAGUUGUUUAUAUUUUUAGGGUUAAAAUAUAAAUUUGUAAGGUGAAAUGUUAAAAUUUAUUUAUAGCUCUUUUUAUGAAUCUGUGAAAUUUAAAUAAUAAACUAGGAUUAGAUACCCUAUUAUUUUAAAUGUUAAUUAUAUUUACCAGGGUACUAUUAGUUAAGGUCUUUAAACCCAAAGAAUUUGGCGGUAUCUCAUUCCAUUCAGAGGAACCUACCCCGUGAUUGAUAAUACACGAUUUACUCUACUUGAUUUAUUUGUUUGUAUAUCUCCGUUAUCAGAGAAUCUUUUUAGAGUUAUAAUUCUCAAGAUUUAUAAUUAUAAAAUAUUUCAGGUCAAGGUGCAGCUUAUAGUUAAGAGGAGGUGGGUUACAAUAGAUUUUUGUUUAUAACGGAUUUGAUGGUGAAAUACUGUUAAUGAAGGUGGAUUUGAUAGUAAUUUAAUUUAUUUAAUUUAACUGAUAUUGGCUCUGAGGUGUGUACACAUCGCCCGUCGCUCUCAUUAUUGAUUAUUCUAUUUUAUUUUUUUUUAAUUUAGCUUCAAUUUAGAUGAGAUAAGUCGUAACAUAGUAGAUGUACUGGAAAGUGUAUCUAGUAAGAGUUU